rnacentral:rRNA from 1 species
UACGAAGGGGGCUAGCGUUGUUCGGAAUUACUGGGCGUAAAGCGCGCGCAGGCGGUCUUCCAAGCCAGUGGUGAAAGCCCGGAGCUCAACUCCGGAACUGCCAUUGAAACUGUGAGACUUGAGGAUGAGAGAGGUGAGUGGAAUUCCCAGUGUAGAGGUGAAAUUCGUAGAUAUUGGGAAGAACACCGGUGGCGAAGGCGGCUCACUGGCUCAUUUCUGACGCUCAGGCGCGACAGCGUGGGGAUCAAACAGG